GUCAGUGUGGUUCAGAAGCCAGGGCACUGGAUUGAGACUCUGAAGACCUGGGUUUUAUUCCCAGCUCUGCCA
rnacentral:tRNA from 1 species